rnacentral:lncRNA from 1 species
GGAGGAUCCUGGUGCUGGGACAGUCCUGGUUUUGUAGAUUCCUAGUGCCUAGAGGACACAACUCAAGGAGAGAAAAGGACAGUUUGGGACAACAGGUGGGUGGGCAGUCUUGAAAAUUGGUAGCCACAGACGCCCAGCGAGAGUGAAGAAGGACAGGUGGCUUCAUUCUGUGGUUGAUGAUUCCCUCAUGGAAGUUCUUGUUCAGGGAAGAAGAAAAAAGGACAUCUCAUUAAAGUGCCAAGAUACAAUGCCGGCUCCUACGUGCACCUUGUUUUGGACCCUGAAUGUAAAAGAUCACUUUCAGCGUGUUUUAAAAAGCAUUCGUGAUUUCAGCGAUCCUUUCUGAAAUGUGUAAAAAUACCAUCGUCUCCAAUGAUAAAAACAACAACAACAUCUGCCGAUGGCAAAAUAUAGUCAACUUUCAGGGCCAAGUUUUUGGAAGCAGCCAAUGCGUUUGCAUGUGUGAUUUUCUUUUUCACAUAUAAGUUUCUGUGGAUACAAAAAUAUAUGUUUGUAUGUACUGAUCAGGUGUCUGUGUCUUAAAUUUACAUAGCUAUGGUUUCCCUGCACCUAAAUAUUGAGGCUUUUAAAAUUUGUAGUGUGAAGGUAUAAAGCUUUUAAUUUGUUGUUGGUGGCAUUUGGCAUGAUAUCUUGGGUGGUUUUAUUACUUGUAUUUUUAAAGCAAAUAUACUUAAAUUUUCAAAGGGAUCACUUCCUGUCAAUAUGUAUAUUGUUUCCCCACUUUUCUCCCAAGUUAAUAAACAACUACAAUGAUA